AUUGAACGCUGGCGGCAGGCUUAACACAUGCAAGUCGAGCGGAGAUGAGGUGCUUGCACCUUAUCUUAGCGGCGGACGGGUGAGUAAUGCUUAGGAAUCUGCCUAUUAGUGGGGGACAACAUUCCGAAAGGAAUGCUAAUACCGCAUACGCCCUACGGGGGAAAGCAGGGGAUCUUCGGAGCUUGCGCUAUGAGAUGAGCCUAAGUCGGAUUAGCUAGUUGGGGGGGUAAAAGCCUACCAAGGCGACGAUCUGUAGCGGGUCUGAGAGGAUGAUCCGCCACACUGGGACUGAGACACGGCCCAGACUCCUACGGGAGGCAGCAGUGGGGAAUAUUGGACAAUGGGCGGAAGCCUGAUCCAGCCAUGCCGCGUGUGUGAAGAAGGCCUUUUGGUUGUAAAGCACUUUAAGCGAGGAGGAGGCUACCUGGAUUAAUACUCUAGGAUAGUGGACGUUACUCGCAGAAUAAGCACCGGCUAACUCUGUGCCAGCCGCCGCAGUAAAAC
rnacentral:rRNA from 1 species